ACCCUGUCUUCGUAUGAGGUGAAGCCUAAACCUGGUGUAAAGGUUAGGGAAAAGUUGUUGUUUUUUAUUUAAGAAAAAAAUGAAAAAUUAAAAAAAGCUUUAUUACGUAAUCAUUAAAAAAUUUAUAUGAUGAGGACUGAAUGUUUAGAAGAAAUGUUUUAGCAUAGACAAACAACGGGAGACAUCCUUUAAUAUUUAUAAUCAGCUUCGAAGUUUUGAUGGAUGCAUCUAGUGUUUCCUCUUUUACAGAUGCUGAUUUUGAUUCCUACUGGGAAGAUGAAUCAAAAAGCAAAAACAGGAAUAGAAUUCGUGUAGGACGUCAAUAUCAAGCUACAGUCCCUCAACUUUUAAAGCCAGGAGAAUCUGAUGGUAGACAGUUAGAAGACUUGGAGACGCUGAAGUGGAAACCUAACAAUGAUCUGAGUGAUCAACAGUUGGAUCAGUUUUUUUCCGUAGCAAGAGCCGUAAGUUUCUUUGCUAGAGCCAUUGACAAAUACCAGCAUUCAGAUAAGGAGUCAGACAAGUGCAUACAGACAGCUUUAAGGGGUUUGACAGAGUAUGUGACAUCUCACCAUCCUUGUCACCAUGAUGCAAACUGUCAGCUUUCUCAGGGAUCUUCUGACCCCCAGCCUUCUGGCUCCAACAGUUCCAAUGAUUGGACUUAUGGUGAAGCUCAACUGUUUGCAAGAGCUCUAGAAGCUUGUGGAAAGAAUUUUGGAGCCAUUAAGAAAGAUUUUUUACCAUGGAAACCUGUGAAGAGUAUUAUAGAAUAUUAUUAUCAAGGAAAAGAGGAGCGACCAAAUUCUUCUCAUAAUAAUUUAGGUGAACCUUCCACCAGUAUGUUUUCUGUAGUAGAGCCAAAAAAAGAAAUAAUAGAUUGUGAUGAUCUAGGAGAUCCUCAUACUUCUCCAGAUAGUGGUAGCAGUGAAGAACCAGAUAAUUCAAUACCAGAAGAACGCAUUGAUGAACCAUCAGAUGAUAAACAAGAUGAUGAAACAGGUUCACAUCCUAACCUUCCUACUACAUCUUUAACUGCUGAAGUGCUAGAGGUGAAACCUAUGAAGGCAAAGCCAGUUACUGCCACCCUAGAUCUUGAAACAUCACCUCUUGGAAGCCUUCAGUUCUAUUUCCAUGGAAAACUGGUUCUGAAACUUAAUGCCCAACAACAUGCUAAUACUAAUGGACAUCAGUGCCAAUGGGUUCCAUCUGUAGACACCCCCAAAGUUCCAUUUCCAUGCAGUGCAGGACAGUGUAAAAAGAAAUAUGUUGAGCUGUAUGAGGACAGCAGAACUGUUGAUGGUGCUGAUCUUCAGGAGGUGGAAGGAGGCUUCAGUAAAAAAGCUAAACUUAAAAAUGAUUUUGCUAUUGUGUGGCCAGAGGAAAGCUUUGGAGCACCUGUUCAUUCACCACAAUCACCAGCACUCAGUGAAUGGAGACACCGUGGUAGAGCCACUCCAUACGAUGGAACCCUGUCUCCUUUUUCUGGUGUAUGUUCAGACCCAAGCGACAGUGAUAUUUCCCCUCUUCAGAGUCCCACCGACAAGUGUAGUACAAAAAAAAUACUGGGACCUAGUGAGCUAUGUUCAGUGAAGGAUGACCUUUGUAUUAAACCAGAACCAGUAUCUCCAUGUUCCCAUCCUACUCACAAUAUUGAGGGGAGGAAGAUUCCCUUUUACAGUUCCUGCCAUAAGCAGGAUCCUCAAAAAUUUAAUACCCUUGAAGAAGUGAAGAGACCUUUUUCUCAGGUUAACUGUACUGAUGUGUCCCAACAGAUUGAGUGUUCAGUGCCUAUUUCAUAUCCGUCUAUGUUGAAAACUGUUUUAGAGGCAACGGAUAAAACCGGGUACAAACAUUUGUUGUCAAGUUCAUACAAGCUCAGCAAUGUAAAGCAAGUAGAAGUGCCACUAGAUUUGUCCAUAAAAUCAUCGCAGCCUUCUGUGAACAAACUGCAUGCAGUAGAGACUAACUGUCAAACUGAUGGAAAGCUAAACAGUUGUAGUCAUAAGCAAAAACAAUUAUCCUCGUCAUGGCCAGAUGAAACUCUGUCACAUCCCCCUGGGCUCAACACACGUCGGUCUUCCAAACAGAUUAAACGUUCUUCUUUUUCUUCACCUGAUGUACGUCCAUCUGUGUCCUCCUUCAAGUCUUUGACCUCUUCUCCUGUGGGUGGUAUCAGUAAACAACACUCGGCAGACAACAAGUGGACUAGCAUCAAUGCCAAGCCAUUAACAUUACCCCCAGUAAUCAGUAGUGCCACAAACACUUUACAUCCUGGAAGUGCUACAUGGACUAGUUUCAGUGCAAAUCCAGACAUCUUGUCUCCAACUCACACAUGGGAAAAGUCUGAUGCAACAGUUGCUUCUUUAACAAGCUACCAAGAACAACAUUCUGGUCUAACUUACCUGUCCAUGCCAAUCUACAAUAUGGCUUAUCCUUAUCCAGCAAAUUGUGUUGAGAAUGUAAAUGGGGUGUCUGCUUCUACAGAGGUAAACUAUUUCAGUCAGAAGAAUUCUCCUAUAAAACUGAAAAACAUGGAGGAUGUCACCAGUUCUCCUUCAUCAAAAGAAAAGGAAAUUCCAGCAUGGGUUACCAAUAGACCAACAGAUUUAACAUCAUACAUUCCCUUGUAUCCACACAUCUAUUCAUACUAUCCAUAUGCUUACAAUUUAUCUCAAGUGUCUUGGAAUGGUGCAGUAACCCCCACAGAAGCAUCGGGUAUGAUGCACCAUUAGACCUGUCAUCUCCUCCCUCUGACAACAUUCCAUGCUCACCCAAACAAAAAGAAACCAUAGUUGGGAGCAGUAGAGCUGUGCAAGUGCCAAAGGAUGAAACAGGUAGUGUUCAAGAAGAAAAAUCCUGCUGAGCC
rnacentral:misc_RNA from 1 species